ACGCUCGACACCUACGGGGGGCAGCAGUGGGGAAUAUUGCACAAUGGGGGAAACCCUGAUGCAGCGACGCCGCGUGGAGGAAGAAGGUCUUCGGAUUGUAAACUCCUGUUGUUGGGGAAAAAGAGGAUGGUACCCAACAAGGAAGUGACGGCUAACUACGUGCCAGCAGCCGCGGUAAUCUGAGCGGGCUGGCAAGGC
rnacentral:rRNA from 1 species